GCCCCAGCCCGGAGCUUUUCAAUGGUUCUCUGCUGUUUGGCUGCUUCUGCUGGCCCUGGGAUCUGCAAUCUGGUUUCUAAGCUGCCCUGGCUGUGGCCAUUAUAGCAAGGUAGAAAAAAAGAAGGAACAGCAAAUUCAAGUCCUGGGGAACAGCAAAAUAAAGAAAGGAAAAAGCCCAUAGAUACCUCUGCUGGAUCGGUGUAAGAUUAGAACAAAUGAGGUGCUGUUAUGAUGUCUGUCCCCCAGCUUAUCCUGACCUGUCACAGAGAUCACUGAUUCUCUCCAGACUUAUAAAAACACAAGUUAUUCCAGGACAAUAGUUUGGGACUUACGAAGAUAAGGACAUC